rnacentral:rRNA from 1 species
UACGUAGGGGGCAAGCGUUGUCCGGAAUCAUUGGGCGUAAAGCGCGCGUAGGCGGCCCGAUAAGUCUGCUGUGAAAGUCCAGGGCUCAACCCUGGAAUGCCGGUGGAUACUGUCGGGCCAGAGUUCGGAAGAGGCAAGUGGAAUUCCUGGUGUAGCGGUGGAAUGCGCAGAUAUCAGGAGGAACACCUAUAGCGAAGGCAGCUUGCUGGGACGACACUGACGCUAAGGCGCGAAAGCGUGGGGAGCGAACAGG